rnacentral:rRNA from 1 species
UACAGAGGUCCCAAGCGUUGUUCGGAUUCACUGGGCGUAAAGGGUGCGUAGGCGGUUAGGUAAGUCUGACGUGAAAUCUCCGGGCCUAACCCGGAAACUGCGUUGGAAACUACUUGACUAGAGGAAUGGAGGGGAGACUGGAAUACUUGGUGUAGCAGUGAAAUGCGUAGAUAUCAAGUGGAACACCAGUGGCGAAGGCGAGUCUCUGGACAUUUCCUGACGCUGAGGCACGAAAGCCAGGGGAGCAAACGGG